rnacentral:rRNA from 1 species
AAUGAACGUUGGCGGCGUGGAUUAGGCAUGCAAGUCGUACGGGUCGGUGUAGCAAUACAACGGCAAGUGGCGAAAGGGAGAGUAACACGUAGAUACCUACCCUCUGGUCGAGGAUACCGCGGCAUAACCGCAAGUAAUACCCGAUAAAAUCUCCGGAUCAAAGGUGUGAUUCCGCCGGAGGAGGGGUCUGCGUUCUAUCAGCUUGUUGGUGAGGUAAUGGCUCACCAAGGCUAAGACGGAUACGGGGUGUGAGAGCAUGCCCCCGCUCACUGGGACUGAGGCACUGCCCAGACACCUACGGGUGGCUGGAGUCGAGAAUCUUCGGCAAUGGGCGCAAGCCUGACCGAGCGACGCCGCGUGCGGGAUGAAGGCCUUCGGGUUGUAAACCGCUGUCGAGGGGAAUGAAGUGUAGGUGGGUACUCCCAUCUAUUUGACAGAUCCCUGGAGGAAGCAUGGGCUAAGUUCGUGCCAGCCGCCGCGGUAAUAC